rnacentral:rRNA from 3 species
AGAGUUUGAUCAUGGCUCAGAUUGAACGCUGGCGGCAGGCCUAACACAUGCAAGUCGAGCGGUAGCACAGAGAGCUUGCUCUCGGGUGACGAGCGGCGGACGGGUGAGUAAUGUCUGGGAAACUGCCUGAUGGAGGGGGAUAACUACUGGAAACGGUAGCUAAUACCGCAUAAUGUCGCAAGACCAAAGUGGGGGACCUUCGGGCCUCAUGCCAUCAGAUGUGCCCAGAUGGGAUUAGCUAGUAGGUGGGGUAACGGCUCACCUAGGCGACGAUCCCUAGCUGGUCUGAGAGGAUGACCAGCCACACUGGAACUGAGACACGGUCCAGACUCCUACGGGAGGCAGCAGUGGGGAAUAUUGCACAAUGGGCGCAAGCCUGAUGCAGCCAUGCCGCGUGUGUGAAGAAGGCCUUCGGGUUGUAAAGCACUUUCAGCGGGGAGGAAGGCGUUAAGGUUAAUAACCUUGGCGAUUGACGUUACCCGCAGAAGAAGCACCGGCUAACUCCGUGCCAGCAGCCGCGGUAAUACGGAGGGUGCAAGCGUUAAUCGGAAUUACUGGGCGUAAAGCGCACGCAGGCGGUCUGUCAAGUCGGAUGUGAAAUCCCCGGGCUCAACCUGGGAACUGCAUUCGAAACUGGCAGGCUAGAGUCUUGUAGAGGGGGGUAGAAUUCCAGGUGUAGCGGUGAAAUGCGUAGAGAUCUGGAGGAAUACCGGUGGCGAAGGCGGCCCCCUGGACAAAGACUGACGCUCAGGUGCGAAAGCGUGGGGAGCAAACAGGAUUAGAUACCCUGGUAGUCCACGCCGUAAACGAUGUCGAUUUGGAGGUUGUGCCCUUGAGGCGUGGCUUCCGGAGCUAACGCGUUAAAUCGACCGCCUGGGGAGUACGGCCGCAAGGUUAAAACUCAAAUGAAUUGACGGGGGCCCGCACAAGCGGUGGAGCAUGUGGUUUAAUUCGAUGCAACGCGAAGAACCUUACCUGGUCUUGACAUCCACAGAACUUUCCAGAGAUGGAUUGGUGCCUUCGGGAACUGUGAGACAGGUGCUGCAUGGCUGUCGUCAGCUCGUGUUGUGAAAUGUUGGGUUAAGUCCCGCAACGAGCGCAACCCUUAUCCUUUGUUGCCAGCGGUUAGGCCGGGAACUCAAAGGAGACUGCCAGUGAUAAACUGGAGGAAGGUGGGGAUGACGUCAAGUCAUCAUGGCCCUUACGACCAGGGCUACACACGUGCUACAAUGGCAUAUACAAAGAGAAGCGACCUCGCGAGAGCAAGCGGACCUCAUAAAGUAUGUCGUAGUCCGGAUUGGAGUCUGCAACUCGACUCCAUGAAGUCGGAAUCGCUAGUAAUCGUAGAUCAGAAUGCUACGGUGAAUACGUUCCCGGGCCUUGUACACACCGCCCGUCACACCAUGGGAGUGGGUUGCAAAAGAAGUAGGUAGCUUAACCUUCGGGAGGGCGCUUACCACUUUGUGAUUCAUGACUGGGGUGAAGUCGUAACAAGGUAACCGUAGGGGAACCUGCGGUUGGAUCACCUCCUU